GGGUCCGUAGGUUGGUCGUGCCACCGGUACGUACUGGUCUCACUGAUUCCUCCUUCCUGAAGAACCGUAAUGCCAUUAAUUUGGUGGUGCGGGGAAACAGGACUGUUACUUUGAAAAAAUUAGAGUGUUUAAAGCAAGCUAACGCUUGAAUACAUUAGCAUGGAAUAAUGAAAUAGGACGAUCGAUCCUAUUUUGUUGGUUUCUAGGAUUGACGUA
rnacentral:rRNA from 1 species